GUGGGAGUAGCUUAAUGGUAAAGCGACGCCUUGCCAAGGCGUAGACUGAGGGUUCGAGCCCCUUUUCCCACU
rnacentral:tRNA from 1 species